rnacentral:rRNA from 1 species
UACGUAGGUGGCAAGCGUUGUCCGGAAUUAUUGGGCGUAAAGCGCGCGCAGGCGGCCUUUUAAGUCUGAUGUGAAAGCCCACGGCUCAACCGUGGAAGGUCAUUGGAAACUGAAAGGCUUGAGUACAGAAGAGGAAAGCGGAAUUCCACGUGUAGCGGUGAAAUGCGUAGAGAUGUGGAGGAACACCGAUGGCGAAGGCAGCCUCCUGGGCCAACACUGACGCUCAUGCACGAAAGCGUGGGGAGCAAACAGG